rnacentral:rRNA from 1 species
CCUACGGGAGGCAGCAGUAGGGAAUAUUGCUCAAUGGGGGAAACCCUGAAGCAGCAACGCCGCGUGGAGGAUGAAGGUGUUAGGAUUGUAAACUCCGUUUGGGAGAGAAGAGAAUGACGGUAGCUCACGAAUAAGCACCGGCGAACGCCGUGCCAGCAGCCGCGGUAAUACGGAGGGUGCAAGCGUUACUCGGAAUCACUGGGCGUAAAGAGUGCGCAGGCGGGCUUGUAAGUCAGAUGUGAAAUCCUGUAGCUGAACUACAGAACUGCAUUUGAAACUAUGAGUCUAGAGUGUGGGAGAGGUAGGUGGAUUUCUUGGUGUAGGGGUCCACUCCGUAUAUAUCACGCGGACUACUCAUUGCGACGGCGCCCUCCUGGACCAUUCCUGCCGCUCAUGCACGCUAGCGUGGGGAGCAAACCGGAUUAGAUACCCUAGUAGUC